GACGAACGCUGGCGGCGCGCUUAACACAUGCAAGUCGAGCGAUGAAAUUUCGACAGAUCCCUUCGGGGUGAAGAUGAAAUGGAUUAGCGGCGGACGGGUGAGUAACACGUGAGUAACCUGCCUUAGACAUUGGGAUAGCCUCGGGAAACCGGGAUUAAUACCAAAUGAAAUCACAUAUGCACAUGCAUAAAUGAUCAAAGCUCCGGCGGUCUAAGAUGGACUCGCGUCCCAUUAGCUAGUUGGUGAGGUAACGGCCCACCAAGGCGACGAUGGGUAGCCGGCCUGAGAGGGUGAACGGCCACAUUGGAACUGAGAAACGGUCCAAACUCCUACGGGAGGCAGCAGUGGGGAAUAUUGCACAAUGGAGGGAACUCUGAUGCAGCGACGCCGCGUGAACGAAGAAGGCUUUCGAGUCGUAAAGUUCUUUUAUAUGGGAAGAUAAUGACGGUACCAUAAGAAAAAGCCCCGGCUAACUAC
rnacentral:rRNA from 1 species